UACGUAGGGUGCGAGCGUUGUCCGGAAUUACUGGGCGUAAAGAGCUCGUAGGUGGUUUGUCGCGUUGUUCGUGAAAUGCCACAGCUUAACUGUGGGCGUGCGGGCGAUACGGGGCAGACUGGAGUACUGCAGGGGAGACUGGAAUUCCUGGUGUAGCGGUGGAAUGCGCAGAUAUCAGGAGGAACACCGGUGGCGAAGGCGGGUCUCUGGGCAGUAACUGACGCUGGAGGAGCGAAAGCGUGGGGAGCGAACAGG
rnacentral:rRNA from 1 species